CUCUCGCUGCUGGAUUUACAGCUUGUUCCCAAUUUUUAAACUUUCAUCGAUAAACUGACUUACAUUCACAUAGGCAAACCUAAGCUGGGCAUUAGAGAAAU